rnacentral:rRNA from 1 species
UACGAAGGGGGCUAGCGUUGCUCGGAAUUACUGGGCGUAAAGGGCGCGUAGGCGGGUAUUUAAGUCAGAGGUCAAAUCCCAGGGCUCAACCCUGGAACUGCCUUUGAUACUGGAUACCUUGAGUGCGGGAGAGGUGUGUGGAACUCCGAGUGUAGAGGUGAAAUUCGUAGAUAUUCGGAAGAACACCAGUGGCGAAGGCGACACACUGGCCCGUUACUGACGCUGAGGCGCGAAAGCGUGGGGAGCAAACAGG